UACGGAGGGUGCAAGCGUUAAUCGGAAUUACUGGGCGUAAAGCGCGCGCAGGUGGUUUAAUAAGUCUGAUGUAAAAGCCCACGGCUCAACCGUGGAAGGUCAUUGGAAACUGUUAAACUUGAGUGCAGGAGAGAAAAGUGGAAUUCCUAGUGUAGCGGUGAAAUGCGUAGAGAUUAGGAGGAACACCAGUGGCGAAGGCGGCUUUUUGGCCUGCAACUGACACUGAGGCGCGAAAGCGUGGGGAGCAAACAGG
rnacentral:rRNA from 1 species